UACGAAGGGUGCAAGCGUUGUUCGGAUUUAUUGGGCGUAAAGCGAGCGCAGGCGGAUUGAUAAGUCAGGUGUGAAAUCUCGGGGCUCAACCUCGAAAUUGCGCCUGAAACUGUUAAUCUAGAAUGUCGGAGAGGGAAGGGGAAUUUCGCAUGUAGGGGUAAAAUCCGUAGAGAUGCGAAGGAACACCAGAGGCGAAGGCGCCUUCCUGGACGACUAUUGACGCUGAGGCUCGAAAGCGUAGGGAGCAAACAGGAUUAGAUACCCCCGUA
rnacentral:rRNA from 1 species